ACCCCCAGACCAAAAGUAGGCUGGGGCCUUAUUGCAGUGCCCCUGACGGACACCGACAUCCUCUUUAUGACUCACAGCAAGCCAGGUGUCUGACUUUGCUCAGGGCAGUGGUCACCGGAGCCUCCAUUUUCACUAACGCCUGGGUCACUGCACGUGUUAGAGUUCAGUUUGGAAAUGCUCCAUGUGUGCCUCCAUUUCUUAAUUCAGGAAAAUGAACGUCCAUCUCUGUUUCUGGCCUGAUCACAUAAAGACAAAAUGGUGGAGCCCGCAUAGGCCAAACUUUGGAUACCACGGUGGCUUCCAGGUGAGCACAGAGGUGAAGGUGUUAGGCCCCAGGGUGUGCCAUCCCUCAGGGCCUUUCUACUGAACCCCGACCACACGCACUCACGUCAUUUGAUCAAGGGCAUCUCAUGUUUUCCAGUGACCCGGGGUGUUGAUGGGGAUUAGCAUAGCUAUAGAAAGCCCACGCCAAAAUACACGGAAGUAUCUGUGACCUCAUUUAUACGAACUCAAACUGCUUACCAUCUGUGUUGGGAAACAGAGGAUGCUUGUGCAUGUGUGUGUAUGUGUGUGCAUGUUUCCUAAGAGAGCACAACUAUAAUAUUUGGUUGAAGAGUGGAGAACUAAAGGAAACAAUUGGGGAAGACCAUCGAUUGAUCAGCAGCCAUGCUGUAUUUGGUGUGGCCUUGAAAGGAAUCAUUCAUCAUAAGCAAUCAAAAAGAGAACGGAGGAGAGAGCAAACACUUCCCGCCCUUAAAUCUCUCACUGUUGCCUUUCACGGGAACAGUUUCUCACACAGAAAAAUCUGUUUUCAGUUGGACUGAAAAACUGCCCCAUGAGUCAUAAACGUCUCUAUAUUUGUAAGGCUCUUCACAGUUGACAAAGCAUUUUUGCAAAGUUUUUUUCAUUUGAUCCUACCCACGGGGUGGAAUGACUAAUCCAAGACCGCACAGACAGAGAAAAUGGCACGGUGGAGCCGGAUUCCGACCCCAGUGAGGCCUUGGUCUGUGUUCUGUUUGAAAUGGAGAAAUCUAGGAAGCACUUCUUGGGAGGAGACGCCUGCAAGUGUUCUUACUCCUAUCGGGUUCCAUCAGUUAUUGAACGUCCACAGUGUGCAUUGCCAGGGAGAAGAGGAAGGACGACAGACACAUUGCCUGCUGCUGGGAAUCCAUGCGGGACUGGUUGACAGCUCAGGACCCAGUCAGAGUCACUUCUGUGGCUCACCCCAGGCUUGAUGGAGGCUGGCUAAUUACAGGGGACUCUGGUAAAUGAGUUGGUGGCCCUCUGGCCAGACCCCUCACCCUAUGGCGUGGUGGCCGCUACCAGUGGUGGCCCUUCUCUGACUUUGUGUUUCACAGAGAUUCGUCGCCUCUAAGGACAGGGUAGACAUGGGGUGAGCAGGUCCGAGAAUUCUGAAUUCUGCCUCUCGGUUCAGUCAAGGAGUUAGACACAUUCCCAACGUACCGCACAGAUCCUGGUGCAGAAAGCUAUUUUUCAGUUUCACCGGAACCAAUUUGAUAACUCACACCAGAAGGAAACCUGUGUAAAAACCAAUCUCAGAUGUGGAGCAAAUGCUGGUGAGGGUGUGAACUGGUAGAAUCACCCUGGAAAACUAGUGGGUUUCCAUAACCAAAGCUGCACUUGGGAGCAGAUAGCUCCAUUCCCAGUUAUGAUUGCAACAAUGUUGGUGGUAGGCAGACACUAAGAUGUGACCUUCUCCUAACCAGCAAAAUACAACAAUUAUGAUGGGAUAUGACUUCUCUGAUUACGUUUCCUAAAACUGUAACUUCUAUCUUGCUAGCAUGUUCUCUCUAUUGCCUUCUUGGCUUCCACGCUUUGAUGUUGGAGAGAGCCUUAUGUGGCACGGAACUAAAUGUGACCUUUGGCCAAUAGCCAGCUAGGCACUGAGGCCUUCAGUCCAAUAGUCUUCCAGAAAUUGAGUUAUGCCAACCGCAGUGGGAGCUUGGAAGUAAAUCCUUCCCCAGUUUGGACUUCAGAUGAGAUCCCAGCCCUUGCUGACACCUUGAUUCUGCUUUGUGAGGGACCCUGAAGCAGACGGUCUAGCUAAGCUGUGUUCAGACUCUUGAUUCACAGAAACUGAGAUAAUGUGUGCGGUUUGAAUUGUGUGGUAAUUGGUUCCACAGCAAUAGGUAACAAAUUCAGAGAUGCUUACAAAUGUGCACCCAGGGACACGUAUAAGAAUUUUCAUAGCAGCAUUCUUCGUGAUAUCCAAAUCAGAAAGAACUCAAAAGUUCAUGGACGAUAAAGUGGAUAAAUACAUUGCAGUAUAUUCAUAGAGUGGACCACUGGAAGCGCUGUGAGAGUAACUAACCCUAGCUACCUGCAAUGAUAUGGGUGAGUCUCACAAGUAAUUGGGUGGGAAAAACCAGACACAAGAGAGUACACACUGUAUGGUCCAAUUUACAUACAGUUCUACAAUAGGCAAAACUAAUCUGUCAUCCUAUUUGAAACUCAGGAUGGUGACGCCUUUGGGGGUUAGGUAGCUACAGGGAAGGUACAUAGGGAAGCUUUUGAGAUGCUGAAAAUGUCCUGUUUCUUCAAUCUGGGGGCUGGUUACAGGACUGGUUUACACACGUUUAUGUAUGUAUUUGGUUAUAAAUUAAAAAGUUUUUACAACACUGCCUUUUUUUUUUUCUAGCAGGUGAUCUUUUCAGCACGGGAUAUUCAUAGAUGUGUGCUCAGAGGGGUGCAUUAUCUUUGCAGGCACAGUGUCAGUCAUACAUCAGGAAAGGAGAGCAUUGAUUUCAAAUGCCUCAUUUAACAGAAGAGGUAAAGUGAGUUGCAGAAGUCAAGCUUCCAAUCAUUUGUCAGAGCUGCAACUGCAAAGCAGGUCUCUUGUAUAUUCUGGUUCGAUGUGAGUGCAGUCUGGCUGUGGAGCAUCUUUCAUGGUUCUCCACGCUUGAGUCCCUUUCUUCACCACCCUGUGAGAUUGCCUGUUGAUGUUGCAAGCUGAGUUAAAGAUUGCUUUCCCAGACUGACCGGUGUCUGGCUUGGGCUUGGGCUUUAAACUGAGCAGUAUCCAAUAAGAAGGAGCUUCUUGGUAUCCUGUUUUCAUGUUUCUACCUUGUUCUGUUGCACUGGAACCCUCCUUGCCAUUUGUUUCCAGGCCUGUUUCUUGCACCAUGGCUAGUCAUCUUUACCUGACCCUCUAUCCACAGUCUGGUUCUCACCCAGCACAACUGAAACUCAAUACCUUUCCUGGUGCUGAACUUGGCGAACUUUCUUGGCUUUGAUUAGGACUCAUCUUUCAGUGUGUAUUUGCUGCUAGCAGCUCUGGGUUAUGACCUUGACUGGGAAGCCUGCAAUCAUCUUACUGAGUCUGCCUCAGUCUCUGCAAAAGAGGAGAGAAGUAUUUUUUUUUUCCAUCAAAGAUCUACAAAUAUCCAAUAUCUCCAUGUUCCAAAUAAGUUCUUACAUUCCAUUUUAGGAAAAUAUCUGCUGGUGUAGGCAGGGAGGAGCAUGAACUACCUGCCUUUUCCCCCUUUUCUCUUUUCUGAGAUCUGAGACCUAUGUUAUAAAAUCAACACAAUGAAUGAGAUCAGACGUAUACAAAUACACCUUAGAGACAAAGAGUCAGCCAUGUCAUAAGAAGGCAAAGGAUGGAUGUGACAAUAACCCCAUUGAUGGUCUGGAUGUGUCUAAAGAGAGAAUAUGUCAAUCAGAAAGAAUAUGUCAAUCAGAAAGCUGGCAGGCACAGAACUUGGAGGACAAGCCAGAGGGAACCCUGAAAACCUGGUAUGAAUGUUCCAGGGGUAAUGGCUUCAUCAGGUCCCAGCCAUGUGAUGCCGUUAAGCUUUCAAGUCAUCUAACUAAACUGUCCUUGCUCUGAUUCCAGACUCACUAAGGAGAUUUCCAAUUAUAAUCAACUUCCUGUGUAGAUUUUCUGUAGGGAAAAAAGGUGCUGGGGAGAAGAGUGUGAGUAUUUGAUCUUUCUGACAACUGCACAUCCCCUUGUUGAUAGAGGUAUUGACAUUUUGGUGAGAAGUUUUGGUGCUUUCUGAAUUUAGUUCACAGAAGUCAGCUCUCCCAAGGCAGGCAGAUCCUGGAACACUAACAAGAUUGAAUUUUUGGACUUGCACAUCUUCUGGCCAGACCUCGGACUGUGAAAAAUUCAUUAAGAUAAUGCCACUUUGGAAGGCCUCUUGGUAGACAGCCAGCCAGCCAUUUCCUGGUAAUAUUCAACAUGGCUUUGGGCCCAUUUUCAAAAUCAUGAUGGUACCUAACUGGAUUGAGAGGAUGAGAAAGGGAACAGAGAGAAGAGGAGAUAAAUUGGGUAGUCCAUUCAAAUUGGUUUCCAUCGAGGCUACAGAUGGAAAUGGAAUCUUAUUGAAAAUGGACUACUUAUGUGUUUCUUAAAUGGGGAUAGAUACCCUUCUGGGAAUAUGUGGUAAUUUUCUUGGGAUGAGUAAAGAUAGGGGAUAAAACUCAGCACAACUUUCUGGAAGAUUAACUUUUCUCCCUGGUUUGGGGAGAUGGAGAAGUUAAGACAUUAACUAAAGAGGUAAACUUACCCAGAGUUUGUUGCUGGGUAAUCAGGGAUUAUAUUUACCAGCUUCUCUUGCAUUUAAUUGGGGCCAUGUGAUGACAUUUUGCUCAAGGGAUGUGGGGAGGAUGGCUGUUAAUUUUGGGCUGAAGCAAUUAAGAAGCACUUCUCUCCCCAUCUCACAGUUGAAUGGAGAGGUUGCAGAGGCUCUGAAGGAGGGUAGAGUCACAAGGCCACAGGGCAGGUUGUCCACCCACCAGCCACACCCACACAGACUUUAGACCUCGAUCAUCUUGAAAUUCAUUCAGAUAACAUGCCCUGCCCAAGUGGAGAUAUUUGCCUUUGCAAUUAGAUGUGCCCAGGGAACUAUGUCUAAAUCAACAGGAGACCAAGAGUUGGAGAAGCUGAAGGAAAAGACCUAGCAGUUGCUGAGGAGGUAUGGCUUCAACUGAUGCCCCAGGAGCUGCACUUGCUGGGCCAGGAUUCACAGAAGGUCGAGGAGAAAAUGGAGUUGCUGUGGACUCACCUGCUGCCCCAUGUCAACAUGAUGAGCCAGCAGGUCUGUGGCAAUGUGUGUGGGUUGCAACGGUGCCUGGUACCUUGCAUCAGCCUUCUGAACAUAAGGAAGGCCCACCUUCUAAAUAUUGUUCAAAAUAUCUUCUGAGGGCCUUCCCAACCCAGAACUAUGCAGGAAAGGGAAUUCUGGGAAAUGUAGUUCUAGCUUGUAGUUAAGUUGACAUAGCAUAAAUUGAUCCACAUGUACAAAGGAAACUUUUUAAAAAGUUGCUUUUAAUUUGAUAAAAAGCAUAUUAUGCCGCAUAUAUCCAUUUAGGACUUGCUCUUUAACAACUCAACAUUAUGUUUUUAGGAUUUAUAAAUCCUAAAACUGUGUAAAGCUUUAGCUUAAUCUUGUUGACCUGUUGUAUACUAUUGCGUGAAUACAUCAUAGUUACUUCAUCUACUCUCUUGUUGAUGGGUAUUUGGAUUAUUUCCAGGUGUUUAAGUUAGCUUGGGCUGCUAUAACAAAGUAUCAGGGU